UAUGUGGGUUGAUUAAAAUAAAAGAAAAGGAAGCCAUUAGUUUAUUUUUUUUUUGGGUGUUGCCAGCACAAACUAUUAGUGCCCAUACACUCAACACGUCACAAAGUGCCUUUAAGGAGUCUGUUGAACCGAAGUGGGAAGGGAGUGUUUAAAGAAAAAAAAGAAAAGAAAAAGAAAGGAGAUAGGAACAAAAGGGGUUUCGCCCAAAGAAGAAGAAAAGAGAAGAAAGAAAGAAAAAGAAACAAUCAGCAGCUUGGGGACGGCCAUAAAGAAAAGGGAAGCAAGUUUCAGACAAGAAAAUUUUUGGGUACAGGUGAAGAUAAGGAGACGGAAGCUUCGACAUUUCCAAGGGAUAAGUAAAUAAUUCGGGAAGUAAACAAGGUAUCUGGUUGAGUUGCUACUGCCAGGUCUAGAAUCUUGAGUGGGAAUGGGGAAAGGAACAAUGGACCGUCUUUUGUUUAAGAUGUAAAUAUUGUAGUAGAAUUUAAUGGUGUAACUUGUCGUUAACGAUUUAGUUUGUUUUAAACUUGCAUAAUAGGCCUAUAUUUUGUUUUAAAUUGUAAAUUGUUAAGCAUGUACUUUGAUGUAUGAUGAUGUCAUGUUGA